rnacentral:rRNA from 1 species
UUAAGCGACUAAGCGUACACGGUGGAUGCCCUGGCAGUCAGAGGCGAUGAAGGACGUGCUAAUCUGCGAUAAGCGUCGGUAAGGUGAUAUGAACCGUUAUAACCGGCGAUUUCCGAAUGGGGAAACCCAGUGUGUUUCGACACACUAUCAUUAACUGAAUCCAUAGGUUAAUGAGGCGAACCGGGGGAACUGAAACAUCUAAGUACCCCGAGGAAAAGAAAUCAACCGAGAUUCCCCCAGUAGCGGCGAGCGAACGGGGAGCAGCCCAGAGCCUGAAUCAGUGUGUGUGUUAGUGGAAGCGUCUGGAAAGGCGUGCGAUACAGGGUGACAGCCCCGUACACAAAAAUGCACAUGCUGUGAGCUCGAUGAGUAGGGCGGGACACGUGGUAUCCUGUCUGAAUAUGGGGGGACCAUCCUCCAAGGCUAAAUACUCCUGACUGACCGAUAGUGAACCAGUACCGUGAGGGAAAGGCGAAAAGAACCCCGGCGAGGGGAGUGAAAAAGAACCUGAAACCGUGUACGUACAAGCAGUGGGAGCACGCUUAGGCGUGUGACUGCGUACCUUUUGUAUAAUGGGUCAGCGACUUAUAUUCUGUAGCAAGGUUAACCGAAUAGGGGAGCCGAAGGGAAACCGAGUCUUAACUGGGCGUCAAGUUGCAAGGUAUAGACCCGAAACCCGGUGAUCUAGCCAUGGGCAGGUUGAAGGUUGGGUAACACUAACUGGAGGACCGAACCGACUAAUGUUGAAAAAUUAGCGGAUGACUUGUGGCUGGGGGUGAAAGGCCAAUCAAACCGGGAGAUAGCUGGUUCUCCCCGAAAGCUAUUUAGGUAGCGCCUCGUGAAUUCAUCUCCGGGGGUAGAGCACUGUUUCGGCAAGGGGGUCAUCCCGACUUACCAACCCGAUGCAAACUGCGAAUACCGGAGAAUGUUAUCACGGGAGACACACGGCGGGUGCUAACGUCCGUCGUGAAGAGGGAAACAACCCAGACCGCCAGCUAAGGUCCCAAAGUCAUGGUUAAGUGGGAAACGAUGUGGGAAGGCCCAGACAGCCAGGAUGUUGGCUUAGAAGCAGCCAUCAUUUAAAGAAAGCGUAAUAGCUCACUGGUCGAGUCGGCCUGCGCGGAAGAUGUAACGGGGCUAAACCAUGCACCGAAGCUGCGGCAGCGACACUAUGUGUUGUUGGGUAGGGGAGCGUUCUGUAAGCCUGUGAAGGUGUACUGUGAGGUAUGCUGGAGGUAUCAGAAGUGCGAAUGCUGACAUAAGUAACGAUAAAGCGGGUGAAAAGCCCGCUCGCCGGAAGACCAAGGGUUCCUGUCCAACGUUAAUCGGGGCAGGGUGAGUCGACCCCUAAGGCGAGGCCGAAAGGCGUAGUCGAUGGGAAACAGGUUAAUAUUCCUGUACUUGGUGUUACUGCGAAGGGGGGACGGAGAAGGCUAUGUUGGCCGGGCGACGGUUGUCCCGGUUUAAGCGUGUAGGCUGGUUUUCCAGGCAAAUCCGGAAAAUCAAGGCUGAGGCGUGAUGACGAGGCACUACGGUGCUGAAGCAACAAAUGCCCUGCUUCCAGGAAAAGCCUCUAAGCAUCAGGUAACAUCAAAUCGUACCCCAAACCGACACAGGUGGUCAGGUAGAGAAUACCAAGGCGCUUGAGAGAACUCGGGUGAAGGAACUAGGCAAAAUGGUGCCGUAACUUCGGGAGAAGGCACGCUGAUAUGUAGGUGAAGUCCCUCGCGGAUGGAGCUGAAAUCAGUCGAAGAUACCAGCUGGCUGCAACUGUUUAUUAAAAACACAGCACUGUGCAAACACGAAAGUGGACGUAUACGGUGUGACGCCUGCCCGGUGCCGGAAGGUUAAUUGAUGGGGUCAGCGCAAGCGAAGCUCUUGAUCGAAGCCCCGGUAAACGGCGGCCGUAACUAUAACGGUCCUAAGGUAGCGAAAUUCCUUGUCGGGUAAGUUCCGACCUG